CCUACGGGUGGCAGCAGUGAGGAAUAUUGGUCAAUGGGCGUAAGCCUGAACCAGCCAAGUCGCGUGAGUGAUGAAGGUUCUAUGGAUCGUAAACCUCUUCUAUAAGGGAAUAAAGUGCGGGACGUGUCCCGGUUUGUAUGUACCUUAUGAAUAAGGAUCGGCUAACUCCGUGCCAGCAGCCGCGGUAAUACGGAGGAUCCGAGCGUUAUCCGGAUUUAUUGGGCUUAAGGGGUGCGUAGUCGGCCUUCUAAGUCAGCGGUGAAAGUCUGUGGCUCAACCACAGAAUUGCCGUGGAAACUGGGAGGCUUGAGUAUGUGUGGGGCAAGCGGAAUGCGUGGUGUAGCGGUGAAAUGCGUAGAUAUCAGGCGGAACCCCGAUGGCGAAGGCGGCCUGCCAAGCCAUGACUGACGCUGAUGCACGAAAGCGUGGGGAUCAAACAGGAUUAGAUACCCUUGUAGUC
rnacentral:rRNA from 1 species